UACAGAGGGUGCAAGCGUUGCUCGGAAUCAUUGGGCGUAAAGGGUAGGUAGGUGGUCUCAUUUGUCUGGGGUGAAAUCCUUGAGCUUAACUCAAGAAGUGCCCUAGAAACGGUGAGACUGGAGUCCUGGAGAGGGUCGUGGAAUUCCCGGUGUAGCGGUGAAAUGCGUAGAGAUCGAGAGGAACACCAGAGGCGAAGGCGGCGACCUGGACAGGUACUGACACUCAACUACGAAAGCGUGGGGAGCAAACAGG
rnacentral:rRNA from 1 species